UCGGGGUGAGUAGAGUGGCGCACGGGUGAGUAACGCGUGGGAACGUACCGUUUAGUACGGAAUAACCUUGGGAAACUGGGGAUAAUACCGUAUACGCCCUUCGGGGGAAAGAUUUAUCGCUAAACGAUCGGCCCGCGUGACAUUAGAUUGUUGGUGGGGUAAUGGCCUACCAAGUCGACGAUGUCUAGCUGGUCUGAGAGGAUGAUCAGCCACACUGGAACUGAGACACGGUCCAGACUCC
rnacentral:rRNA from 1 species